rnacentral:rRNA from 1 species
ACAGAGGGUGCAAGCGUUGUUCGGAAUUAUUGGGCGUAAAGCGCACGUAGGCGGCGCAACAAGUCGGGUGUGAAAGCCCGGGGCUCAACCCCGGAACGGCGCCCGAAACUGUUGUGCUUGAGUUCCGGAGAGGGUGGUGGAAUUCCUGGUGUAGAGGUGAAAUUCGUAGAUAUCAGGAGGAACACCCGUGGCGAAGGCGACCACCUGGACGGUGACUGACGCUGAGGUGCGAAAGCGUGGGGAGCAAACA